ACGGGUGAGUAACGCGUGGGUAACCUACCCUGUACACACGGAUAACAUACCGAAAGGUAUGCUAAUACGGGAUAAUAUAUUUGAGAGGCAUCUCUUAAAUAUCAAAGGUGAGCCAGUACAGGAUGGACCCGCGUCUGAUUAGCUAGUUGGUAAGGUAACGGCUUACCAGGGCAACGAUCAGUAGCCGACCUGAGAGGGUGAUCGGCCACAUUGGAACUGAGACACGGUCCAAACUCCUACGGGAGGCAGCAGUGGGGAAUAUUGCACAAUGGGCGAAAGCCUGAUGCAGCAACGCCGCGUGAGUGAUGAAGGCCUUCGGGUCGUAAAACUCUGUCCUCAAGGAAGAUAAUGACGGUACUUGAGGAGGAAGCCCCGGCUAACUGCGUGCCAGCAGCCGCGGUAAUACGUAGGGGGCUAGCGUUAUCCGGAUUUACUGGGCGUAAAGGGUGCGUAGGCGGUCUUUCAAGUCAGGAGUGAAAGGCUACGGCUCAACCGUAGUAAGCUCUUGAAACUGGGAGACUUGAGUGCAGGAGAGGAGAGUGGAAUUCCUAGUGUAGCGGUGAAAUGCGUAGAUAUUAGGAGGAACACCAGUUGCGAAGGCGGCUCUCUGGACUGUAACUGACGCUGAGGCACGAAAGCGUGGGGAGCAAACAGGAUUAGAUACCCUGGUAGUCCACGCUGUAAACGAUGAGUACUAGGUGUCGGGGGUUACCCCCUUCGGUGCCGCAGCUAACG
rnacentral:rRNA from 1 species